UUUCCGUAGGUGAACCUGCGGAAGGAUCAUUCAUAAUAAAGUGUUUUAUGGCACUUUUUAAAAAUCCAUAUCCACCUUGUGUGCAAUGUUAGAUCUCGUCAAUCUUGGCGAGAUUUUUAUACAUCAACUCAUUUUUUAACUAAUUUGUCUGAAAAAUAUUAUGAAUACUUAAUUCAAAAUACGACUUUCAACAACGGAUCUCUUGGCUCUC
rnacentral:misc_RNA from 1 species